UCAUACCAGUCGGGGCAGUAGCGGCGCCUUGUACCUGAAAUCCGCUAUAGCAGGGAUUCAUUCCUGUCCCGAGGAUUACCCUUGUGUAGUCUGCACCGCCGUUUACUGUGUUGAGAAACGGGUCUUGCGCAACGUGAGGCUGUGAACCAUGUCAGGUGGGGAACCAAGCAGCAUUAAGCGGUUUAUCACGUGUGCCGCGAGGCAGCCUGUUUGGAGCAGUGGCGACGGUUACCGUAUGUAAGGGUAUUUUCGACGGACGGGUGUAUGG
rnacentral:SRP_RNA from 1 species